rnacentral:lncRNA from 1 species
CGAGUGGAAGGUGUGGCUGCGCGGCGCUAGGGGGCGGUGGUCGGUGGAGCUGGGCGGCGUUGGCGGAGCAGGCUGCGGGGUCGGGAGAGGGGAGGCGCCUGGGUCGGCUCCAAUGUCUUCGCGUGCGUGGGGCCCGAGGAACGGGCUGCUCCCCUGCCGUGCAGGCUUCCUCGAAUCCCUGGCACCUCUGCCGGGAUGCGGUGGUGUGGGUGGCCGGCCCAGCGGCCAAGCCUCCCCUGCGCCUCGCGGUUGGGUGCGGGCUUCCCAGGGUAGGCUGCGGGAGCGGCUUCCAGCCUCACGGGAACCUCAACUCCCUGCGGCUCACCCCAGCCUGCGGUACAAGGCGUAGCAAAGAACCUCGAGAGUAGCUGUUGCUUCGUUCGUUUGAUACCUUGCAGAUUUUAGGAGCAUUAACGCCCAUCAUGUUUUCUAUCGCCCCAGGGAAAGGAAGCAGGUGUAGACAGCAGCAAGAGGGAAUUGUGAUGAGGGAAUUCUCUGUAGCGUAGAUGUGUGCUCACGUUCUCUGAGGAGUUUUGAAAUCAGUAUUGUUUCCGUUACCCUGAAUGGUUACAAGGAGAGAACACUGGACUUGGAGUCAGAAGACCUUCAUCCAAGUCAUUCCCUGCUCUUAAGUCCCAUUUCUGCUCCGUGAGAUUGUUUCCACCUCAGAUGAGAUUAGACUUAAGGUGGCAUUGGUAUUGGCUGUGGUAAAACAAGAUAUCUUCGAGGACUCUUCAGUGACUUACAUCCAUACAUCCCUUUUAUGGGACAGUGGCUUCUGAAAGCUUCCUUGGAGAUGGCAGAUAGAGCAUUGCACUUAUCUUCCCUAGCGUUCACCAAUAAGUUGACUUACACAUAACUUCUUACUAGCCAGUCAGGUUCACAAAAUGAUGUGGAGUGAAUUACUUUUUAUGUAAUAAAAAACGUUGCAUACCCAAA